CGGGAAAUGGAUGCGCAGAGCGGGAUUACUUGCAUGGAUUGGAAUUCGGUAGCAUUAUGUUUGCAUAUAUUUCGUUGAAAUGUCUAGUCACCACAAAAUCAAUAGCUAUUGGCUCUGCGAAAUUGACCUUCAGUGAACAACAUAUCCGACAUUUCUUUUCUGCAAUAGGCAAUAGGUUUAGAUACUGCUGAAAAUGUUCUGUAGGUCCGUGCAUAACAUGCAGUUCUGUGUAUGGCUGUCGUGUUCAUGAAACCUUCCUUUUAACAAUUACAUGCUUAUCAGCUUAUGCUGUUACAGGCUGACUAUGAUUUUGAGAUGUUCCAAAUGAUUAGAAUGGUUGCUUUGAGAUGUUAUGUUGUGACAUUCUAUCUGUGACUUAUGUUGUUUUUAUUUGCCAGAAUCUAGGGAAGAAGUUUGUAGUUCUCUCCAGUUGGCCGCCACCAUUUCCAGGGCCUUCCACCAUUGGUCCAAUAAAUUAUUGGUGUUGUACUUAAGGUAUGUGUAUCACUGACAUCCCGCAUUUCUUCUGCUGAUCAUAAGCUGCUAAAUUAACUUAGGUUACAUGUACUCUGCACGGUUGCUGAAUAUUCCAGACGUUUCUUUUAAGGAUUCGUAACCGCCCAGCCAUUCAGUUUCGACUUUGCUUGUCUUUCCGUUGCUAUAUGGUUAAGGGCAAUGGUGAUUAUUUUCUAGUUUGUCGUAUUUGCCAGGUUUACAUUCUUCAUGUUGUAAAUUAUUGCCUUUUUUGGGUCAUGAUUUUUUCUAUUGAGAUCAUUUGAGCACCAAGGAAAUACAGUAAAUCCUUGGGGAAACAUAGAAAUAGAAAUGGAUGUGCAGCGCGGGAGUACUUUCAGUAUCAUUAUGGUUGCAUAUAUUUCGAUUAAAAGUCUAGCCACAACAAAAUCAAUAGCCAUCGGCUGUGUGAAAUUGACCUUCAGUGAACAACAUGUUCAACAUUUCUUUUCUGCAGUAGGCAAUAGGAUUAGAUGCUUCUGAAAAUGUUAUGUAGGUCCGUGCAUAACAUGCAGUUUCGUGUAUGGCUGUCGUGUUCUCGAAACAUAUUCUUUUCAACAAUCACUUGCUUAUCUGCUUAUGCUGAUACAGGCUCACUAUCAUUUUGAGAUGUUCCAAAUGAUUAGAAUGGUUGCUUUGAGAUGUUAUGUUGUGACAUUCUAUCUGUGGCUUAUGUUGUUUUUAUUUGCCAGAAUCUAGGGAAGC
rnacentral:lncRNA from 1 species